CCAAGACUGACCUGUGAGAGGCAGCAUGGUGCCGCGGUGCAUCUAGACGGCAGUAAAAUACAAGGAAGAAAGGGUCAUUUGGCAGCAGCAGGAGCUUCAUGUCGCUUCUCUAAUUGGCAAUCAUUUUGUUUCGCGUCACAAGUGGCAGAGUCUGCAGCUCGGCCGAAGGAUUUACCAUUAAAAACAGCAAUCAUCAUUGAUGGAUUUACUGGCAACGCUUUCCAUGGUGACAUUCGUGAUAACGGAAGAGUCUAGAAGACUGAUGGUGGCUGACUCACACUGAACAUCUCUGCCGACUCACAGCCACCUUGACUCGCUCCUUUCCAUUUAAACAAGCUUUAAGAUCCACCGGCGCCCUCUCGGAAAGAUGCGUCCUGGGCAACCGGGGGAUUUUUUUCAACCGCAGCGUGCCCUUGUAUUCAAGGUGAACAUAUGGAGGAGAUGGUGUGACUGAUUCCAGCAAUCAAGGUCAUCUUCCUGUGUCCCGCCAACUGCCAUUUAGCUUUAUUUUCUGUUUGGUUUUGAGCUGAGAGGAUGCUGGUCUUUAAGUUUGUAAAAUUUGGAGUGCAACCAAAACGU